rfam:Fusobacterium necrophorum subsp. funduliforme 1_1_36S genomic scaffold supercont1.2, whole genome shotgun sequence.
AAAAGGAAGGAAAAAUAAAAUUUAGAACUGUGUACAGGGAAGUCCGGUGGAAAUCCGGCGCUGUUAAACAACUGUAUUAAGGAAUAUCAGUAUUGUAAUCCUCUCACAAAGGAAUACUGAUAUGAUGAUCUUGAGUCAGAGUGCUGGCUGGUUCUAUUUUAUCUC